rnacentral:rRNA from 1 species
CACGGGGCGCAGCAGGCGCGAAACCUCCGCAAUGCACGCAAGUGCGACGGGGGAACCCCAAGUGUCACUCUUACGCGGCGCGCUCCCGUCCCGCCGCCCCCGCCCCNNAUGGGNGCNAGGGNNG